rnacentral:rRNA from 1 species
AGGAAAGGCCGGGCSCCGCGGACUGCGGGUGAGUAAACGCGUGGUUCCUCURUAGCCCUUUUCUACGGAAUAGUCUCGGGAAACUGGGGGUAAUACCGUAUACGCCCUUCGGGGGAAAGAUUUAUCGGAGAAGGAUCGGCCCGCGUUGGAUUAGGUAGUUGGUGGGGUAAUGGCCUACCAAGCCGACGAUCCAUAGCUGGUUUGAGAAGAUGAUCAGCCACACUGGGACUGAGACACGGCCCAGACUCCUACGGGAGGCAGCAGUGGGGAAUCUUAGACAAUGGGCGCAAGCCUGAUCUAGCCAUGCCGCGUGAGCGAUGAAGGCCUUAGGGUUGUAAAGCUCUUUCAGGGGGGAAGAUAAUGACUGUACCCCCAGAAGAAGCCCCGGCUAACUCCGUGCCAGCAGCCGCGGUAAUACGGAGGGGGCUAGCGUUGUUCGGAAUUACUGGGCGUAAAGCGCACGUAGGCGGACUGGAAAGUUGGGGGUGAAAUCCCGGGGCUCAACCCCGGAACUGCCUUCAAAACUUCCGGUCUUGAGGUCGAGAGAGGUGAGUGGAAUUCCGAGUGUAGAGGUGAAAUUCGUAGAUAUUCGGAGGAACACCAGUGGCGAAGGCGGCUCACUGGCUCGAUACUGACGCUGAGGUGCGAAAGCGUGGGGGAGCAAACAGGAUUAGAUACCCCUGGUAGUCCACGCCCGUAAACGAUGAAUGCCAGACGUCGGGCAGCAUGCUGUUCGGUGUCACACCCUAACGGGAUUAGSCAUUCCGCCUGGGGAAGUACGGGCCGCAAGGGUUAAAACUCAMAGGGAAUUGACGGGGGGCUCGCAMCAAGGCGGUGGGAGC